rnacentral:rRNA from 1 species
AUUGAACGCUGGCGGCAGGCCUAACACAUGCAAGUCGAACGAGUGGCGGACGGGUGAGUGAUGUCUGGGAAACUGCCUGAUGGCGGGUGAUACCUACUGGAAACGGUAGCUAAUACCGCAUACCAUCAGAUGUGCCCAGAUGGGAUUAGCUUGUUGGUGGGGUAACGGCGCACAAAGGCGACGAUCCCUAGCUGGUCUGAGAGGAUGACCAGCCACACUGGAACUGCGACACGGUCAGGACUCCUACGGGAGGCAGCAUUGGGGAAGAUUGCACAAUGGGCGCAAGCCUGAUGCAGCCAGGCCGCGUGGAUGAAGAAGGCCUGCGGGUUGUAAAGUACGUUCAGCGGGGAGGCGGUACCCGCAGAAGAAGCACCGGCUAACUCCGUGCCAGCAGCCGCGGUAAUUC